rnacentral:tRNA from 1 species
GGCCUGGUCGUCAAGCAGUAAGACAAGAGUCUGCAAAACUCUCAUACGCGGGUGCAAUUCCCGCCCAGGCCU